CAUCAGCACCGUGAGUCUCCUGCAGCAGAAGUUUGAGAUUCACUUUAUUCAGCAUGGCACCAAGCCUGUUCCUCUCAGUGGCAACCCUGGUUACAGAGUGGGACUCCCGCUGGCCGCUGGCUUUCAGCCUCAGAAGGGGUCUGGGAUUAUUCAGACAACGAACAGACAAGGCCAGCUUACUAUUCUUCGUAGCACAGGCAAGCAGGACUGCCUGGCCAGCCACGGGCAGCGGGCUCCUGUGCUGUUUGGCUACAAUGUGCAGUCUGGCUGUCAGCUCAGGUUGACAGGCACCAUCCCAUGCGGGCUUCUGGCACAGAAGAUGCAGGAUCUGCUGAGAGGCCAGGCCUUCCCUGACUACGUGGCUGCGUUUGGGAACUCACGAGCCCAGGAUGUGCAGGACUGGGUGCCUGUGCACUUUGUCACCCACUCCUCCAACACGAAGGGCUCUUGCCAGCUUCCUGUGGCUUUGGGUAUAGAAGUAAAAUGGACUAAGUAUGGGUCCCUGCU
rnacentral:lncRNA from 1 species